rnacentral:rRNA from 1 species
GGAUUAGAUACCCUGGUAGUCCACGCCCUAAACGAUGGAUACUAGUCGUUGGAGUUCCUAAUAGCUUCAGUGACGUAGCUAACGCAUUAAGUAUCCCGCCUGGGGAGUACGGUCGCAAGAUUAAAACUCAAAGGAAUUGACGGGGGCCCGCACAAGCGGUGGAGCAUGUGGUUUAAUUCGAUGCUACGCGAAAAACCUUACCUGGGCUUGACAUCCCGGGCUACCCUGGGAAACCAGGGGUUCUCUUCGGAGACCCGGUGACAGGUGCUGCAUGGCUGUCGUCAGCUCGUGUCG